CCUAGACCGUAGGUGUGUGUAUCUCAGAGGCUGAGGAAAAUCUGCCUCGUGCCCCUUGACUCUUGAGGGUGUUAGCCUUUGCUAACACUUAGCGUUGGUCUUGGGGUCCCGUGACGUCAUGAGCCCUUUGAAUGCCGGGGAAGAGAUUUUAUGGCCCAAAGAGUACGGUGGUUGACGCAAAAUUUUCGAGAGUGGAAAAGUACUCCCACAAUUCAAUAUAAAUUCAUUUCGAU